UACGUAGGGCGCAAGCGUUGUCCGGAAUUAUUGGGCGUAAAGAGCUCGUAGGCGGCUUGUCACGUCGGAUGUGAAAGCCCGGGGCUUAACCCCGGGCCUGCAUUCGAUACGGGCAGGCUAGAGUGUGGUAGGGGGGAUCGGAAUUCCUGGUGUAGCGGUGAAAUGCGCAGAUAUCAGGAGGAACACCGGUGGCGAAGGCGGAUCUCUGGGCCAUUACUGACGCUGAGGAGCGAAAGCGUGGGGAGCGAACAGG
rnacentral:rRNA from 1 species